CCACUCCCUCUUUGAACCCUAAGCCUCGCAUCUGAAACUGAAUGAAAACCACCCCCCAAGCCAGCUUCGUGCCCUCGUCUCUCUGUCUCUGCUCUCUCGAGCUCGGCGUCGGCAGUGGGAAGCACCUCACCCUCACCUAGUCACUCUCUCAAACUCAGCGUUGGCAGUUCGUCACUCUCUCGGCAUCAGUUCAUCACUCCCUCGACUUCGUCGGUUCGUUAAUCCCUUGGCGUCACUCUGGGUCUCUCACUUCGUCGCUCUCUCGGUCUGUCACCGGGAGUCCGUUACCUUGCGUUCGCUUCGUUGGAACCAGUAAAGCAGCAUCUGCUCCUUCGGGUGGUGGUGGUGGUCGUCUUCUCAACUAGGAAGGACUGCUUUAGUUGCACUGAUUGCAUUCAUGACAACCAACCCAAAUAAUGAUUUGGGCUCAUUAGACUACAAGAAAGAAGAGAGGCGCACAUUGGCAAUUAAAUUCCGUUAUGCAGCUCUAAGGUUUGGGACUGCUGAGUGGCAAAAACUGAUAGAUGAGGUAGAACAAUUCUUAUUGUUUUUUCUCUAGUGCAGUGUUCUGUAAUAUUAGGCAUAUUUUGGAGAUUAAGGAGAGACUUUACAUCUAUCACAAAGAGGUUAGUGAUUAUAAAUUGUUGUACUGAGAUUAAUAACAAUUGUUAUUGGAUUAUUAUUGCAUCGUUAUUGUAAGGUGAUAAUCUUAAUGAAGCAAAUCUGCAACAAGUUUUGGUGGAUUUUGAUGAUUAUUGGUAUUUGGCAAGAUGUCUUAUACUCUUAUUAACCCUUUACCACAACUAAUUUUAUUUUUGAAUGUAUAGGUGCGAUGUCUUAUACUCUUAUUAAGCCUCUACCACAUGUACAUUGGUUGUUAGUGGUUACAUAUUGUGUGUAGUUAACUUAUCUCAUUCAUAAGUUGUAAGCAUGAUUGAAAUAAUUUUUUUGGUGCUAUAAUUUCAAUUGUUUUAAAUAGAAAUAAUUUUUUUCAAGUACACAUGAUUGAAAAAGUAACUACUAAAUCAACAACAAAUUUUUUUCUGUUGAUUUUUAGUCUUAUAUCAUUUUUGGUCAUAUAAAUUUCAGUUUUUGUAGAAUUAAUUUUAUAUUAAAUAAAGAGAAUAAGUGCAAAAAAAGCACAUUAAACUAAUAAGAGUUAACUUAAUAUGAGGAAUUUAGUAUAAUAAGAGUUAACUUAAUAAAAGUCAACUUCAUCUAUACGUUGACUUGUUUUGUUUAUGUAUUCCAAUUACAGUAAAAUAGGACUUUUUUUGUAGCAAAUGGAGCUAGCUUUCUUUCACAAUUGCUUCAGUGCCAUAUGUUCCUAAUUUGCAAUAAACAAGCUUUCCCUUCACAGGUGCUGAGCUUCCAUAUGGUAAAGUGGUUGAAAUAAAAGUUUUCGAACGUUGAGAAGGAAGAAUAGCAAUACCAAAAACAAUCUAUCCUGGCAGAGUCUGAAUUGUAUUACUCUCACGUCUGUGAAACAAUUCUGUUAAUAGUUUCUACUUAGUGUUAGUGUGUAUAUCAAUGUAUAAAACUGAGAUUGAGACAAGUAUAUUCACUCAACUAUAUUGA